rnacentral:misc_RNA from 1 species
GAUGAAGAACGUAGCGAAAUGCGAUAAGUAAUGUGAAUUGCAGAAUUCAGUGAAUCAUCGAAUCUUUGAACGCACAUUGCGCCCGCUAGUAUUCUGGCGGGCAUGCCUGUCCGAGCGUCAUUUCAACCCUCAAGCCCCCGGGCUUGGUGUUGGGGAUCGGCGAGCCUCCGCGCCCGCCGUCCCCUAAAUCUAGUGGCGGUCUCGCUGUAGCUUCCUCUGCGUAGUAGCACACCUCGCACUGGGAAACAGCGCGGCCACGCCGUUAAACCCCCAACUUCUGAACGUUUGACCUCGGAUCAGGUAGGAAUACCCGCUGAACUUAAGCAUAUUCAAUAAGCGGAGGA